rnacentral:lncRNA from 1 species
AAUUGAAACCAGGUUCUGACAUUUACUUGCCCUGAGACUUUGAAUAAGUUAAACUUUCUAUGCUUCAGUUUCCUCAUCAUUAAAAUGGGGAUAAUAAGAGUAUAUCACUCAGAGAGCUAGGAAAAUUUAGUUAUUAAUUUUGUAGAUUUACAAUACUAUCUGAAACAUAUAAGCACUCUAUGUAUUGAUUGUUGCAUAAAAUACUUUCACGUAUCUGAAAAAUGUGAAUGAGGCAGAAAUUUCAACACUUCUUGAAGCUGUUGGUAAAUGUUUUAUCAUCAUGCCACAAAUUUUCCAUAUUUGAGUUCUUAAAUGGUGAGAAGGGCUAGAUUAGACUCUCCUGCCUUUAGUUCUUGGUCUUCAUGAAGUAUGUAAUAUGUUGUCUUGUUGUCAAGGUAACAGGAUUCAAGAUGGUUUUAUAAAAUGAGAAUGGGCUCAUUUUUAAAAAAUGCCAGGAAAUGCUUUAGAAAAGGAAGUGUCUUAAUAACAGGCUUUAUUGAAGCAAAAGUGUCUAAAUCUCAUUGAAGGCAGAGAAUCGAUUGCAGUUUCAUUGCCUUAUUGAAAGCAGCCUGUAUUUUCAAACAAGGGCUUGGCAUUUAAUAUCCCCACAAUAAUGGAGCAGACUUUUGAGAGUGUGAACUGUGAGGAGUUGGUAAAGAUUUUUUUCCCUGGAGAAAGACAUAAAAUAGCAGUAGAUUUCAGUGACUCAUGAUGGCAGGGAGAGUGAUUCGUGAAGGGAUUUGACAGAAUGAGUCUUAGCAGUAUGAGGAGUGUAUCCAUAUAGCCAUUUUUACCUAGCUUCUUUACGUGAAUUCUGGAACCAACUACUCAUGUGCUAAGCCAAAGAUUAAUGAUAAUAAAGCAAAUUUCAGGAAAUCUAAUUUGGGAACACAUAACCUCAUUUACACAUCACCUAAUUUAAAUUGGUCAGAAGAAGGAACUCUGCUAUUUUGGCUUUGUACCAGGCAUCCAUUAGUUAUAAGAAAAAUUAUGUGUAUUCUCUCUUUUUUUAAAAUUAUACUUUAUGUUCUAGGGAUGCAGUUGGAAACGUGUUCUCUUUUUAUGAUCCCAAGAAAAGAGAAGUGUAUGAGAAAAGAGAGUUGAUUUGGAGUUAUACAAAAUAUAGAAAUCAUUGGAUAAAUAGGAAACUUCAUUUUAAUUUGAGAUGUUAAAAUAUUUGGAAGAUUUUCAAAAUUAUUUAUAUGAAGGUAAGUGAUAACAGCAAUUUUUGGUUCACUAUCAUCAUCUUUAAAAACAACAUACUUUUUAAUGAUUCAUUUGCUUAAACCAACUUGGUAGUAAGAAUUUGGUAUGAAAUCUUCAUAAAUCAGUAAUAAACUCAAAACCCU